rnacentral:rRNA from 1 species
AUGGUUAGGAGUGUACCGAUUGGUGAGAAGCUCUUCAUAGGAGGAGACCUCAAUGGCCACGUGGGUACAUCUAACACAGGUUUUGAAAGGGCGCAUGGGGGCUUUGGCUAUGGCACCAGGAAUCAAGAAGGAGAAGAUGUCUUAAGCUUUGCUCUAGCCUACAACAUGAUUGUAGCUAACACCCUCUUUAGAAAGAGAGAAUCACAUCUGGUGACUUUUAGUAGUGGCCAACACUCUAGCCAGAUUGAUUUCAUCCUCUCGAGAAGAGAAGAUAGGCGUGCGUGCCUAGACUGUAAGGUGAUACCUGGGGAGAGUGUUGUACCCCAGCAUAAGCUGGUGGUUGCUGACUUCCGCUUUUGGAUUCGUGUCCAGCGGGAUAAGCGUGCCAAGGUCGCUAGAACGAAGUGGUGGAAGAUCAAGGGGGAGGUAGCUCAGGUGUUCAAGGAGAGGGUAUUUAAGGAGGGCCCUUGGGAGGAAGGAGGGGAUGCGGACAAUGUGUGGACGAAGAUGGCGACUUGCAUUCGUAAGGUGGCCUCGGAGGAGUUUGGAGUGUCCAGGGGAAGAAGAAGCGAAGAUAAGGAUACCUGGUGGUGGAAUGAUGAUGUCCAGAAGGCGCUUAAAAAGAAGAAAGAUUGCUUCAGACGCCUAUACCUGGAUAGGAGUGCAGACAACAUAGAGAAGUACAAGAUGGCGAAGAAGGCCGCAAAGCGAGCUGUUGGUGAAGCAAGGGGUCGGGCAUAUGAGGACCUCUACCAACGGUUAGGCACGAAGGAAGGUGAAAGGGACAUCUAUAAGAUGGCUAAGAUCCGGGAGAGGAAGACGAGGGAAAUUGGCCAAGUCAAAUGCAUCAAGGACGGAGCAGGCCAACUCUUGGUGAAGGACGAAGAGAUUAAGCAUAGAUGGCGGGAGUACUUCGACAAGCUGUUCAAUGGGGAGAAUGAGAGUUCUACCAUUGAACUGAAUGACUCCUUUGAUGAGACCAGCAUGCGUUUUGUGCGGCGCAUCCAGGAGUCUGAGGUGAAGGAGGCUUUAAAAAGGAUGAAAGGAGGCAAGGCGAUGGGCCCUGAUUGUAUCCCCAUUGAGGUGUGGAAAGGUCUCGGGGACAUAGCGAUAGUAUGGCUAACCAAGCUUUUCAACCUCAUUUUUCGGGCAAACAAGAUGCCAGAAGAAUGGAGACGGAGUAUAUUAGUACCAAUCUUCAAGAACAAGGGGGAUGUUCAGAGUUGUACUAAUUACCAUGGAAUUAAACUGAUGAGCCAUACAAUGAAGCUAUGGGAGAGAGUCAUUGAGCACCGCUUAAGAAGAAUGACAAGCGUGACCAAAAAUCAGUUUGGUUUCAUGCCUGGGAGGUCGACCAUGGAAGCCAUUUUCUUGGUACGACAACUUAUGAAGAGAUAUAGGGAGCAUAAGAAGGACUUGCAUAUGGUGUUCAUUGACUUGGAGAAGGCCUAUGAUAAGAUACCGCGGAAUGUCAUGUGGUGGGCCUUGGAGAAACACAAAGUUCCAGCAAAGUACAUUACCCUCAUCAAGGACAUGUACGAUAAUGUUGUGACAAGUGUUCGAACAAGUGAUGUCGACACCGAUGACUUCCUGAUUAAGAUAGGACUGCAUCAGGGGUCAGCUUUGAGCCCUUAUCUGUUUGCAUUGGUGAUGGAUGAGGUCACUAGGGAUAUACAAGGAGAUAUCCCAUGGUGUAUGCUCUUUGCGGAUGAUGUGGUGCUAGUUGACGAUAGUCGGACGGGGGUAAAUAGGAAGUUAGAGUUAUGGAGACAAACCUUGGAAUCGAAAGGGUUUAGGCUUAGUAGAACUAAAACCGAGUGCAUGAUGUGCGGUUUCAGUACUACUAGGUGUGAGGAGGAGGAGGUUAGCCUUGAUGGCCAGGUGGUACCUCGGAAGGACACCUUUCGGUAUUUGGGGUCAAUGUUGCAGGAGGAUGGGGGUAUUGAUGAAGAUGUGAACCAUCGAAUCAAAGCCGGAUGGAUGAAGUGGCGCCAAGCUUCUGGCAUUCUCUGUGACAAGAGAGUGUCACAAAAGCUAAAAGGCAAAUUCUACAGGACGGCGGUUCGACCCGCAAUGUUGUAUGGCGCGGAGUGUUGGCCGAUUAAAAGGCGACAUGUUCAACAGUUAGGUGUGGCGGAGAUGCGUAUGUUGAGAUGGAUGUGUGGCCACACGAGGAAGGAUCGAGUCCGGAAUGAUGAUAUACGAGAUAGAGUUGGGGUAGCACCAAUUGAGGAGAAGCUUGUCCAACAUCGUUUGAGAUGGUUUGGGCAUAUUCAGCGCAGGCCUCCAGAAGCUCCAGUGCAUAGCGGACGGCUAAAGCGUGCGAAGAAUGUCAAGAGAGGGCGGGGUCGACCGAUUUUGACAUGGAAGGAGUCCGUUAAGAGAGACCUGAAGGAUUGGAGUAUCGACAAAGAGCUAGCUCUGGACAGGGGUGCGUGGAAGCUUGCUAUUCAUGUGCCAGAGCCAUGA